GCCUUCUUAGCUCAGUGGUAGAGCGCGUGGCUUUUAACCACAUGGUUGUUGGUUUGAUCCCCAAAGAUGGUG
rfam:Ipomoea nil DNA, scaffold: scaffold0861, cultivar: Tokyo-kokei standard.